rnacentral:rRNA from 1 species
UACAGAGGUCUCAAGCGUUUGUUCGGAUUCAUUGGGCGUAAAGGGUGCGUAGGUGGCGCCAUAAGUCAGGUGUGAAAUCUCGGGGCUCAACUCCGAAACUGCACUUGAUACUGUGGUGCUCGAGUACUGGAGAGGAGAUUGGAAUUUACGGUGUAGCAGUGAAAUGCGUAGAUAUCGUAAGGAAGACCAGUGGCGAAGGCGAAUCUCUGGACAGUUACUGACACUGAGGCACGAAGGCCAGGGGAGCAAACGGG